rnacentral:lncRNA from 1 species
UGGUUAGCUCUAAGCAUCAUCAUCACGAUGUCCCUUGUCCGCCACCGCCCCCACCAAAGACUCCAAAAUGCCCACCACCACCAUCAUCACCUACAGGAAGUUGUCCAAAAAAUGCUCUUAAGCUAGGAGUAUGUGCUGACUUGUUAAACGAUUUGGUGCACCUAGUAGUCGGAACUCCACCAAAGGAACCAUGCUGCCCUCUCAUUCAAGGUCUUGCGGACCUUGAAGCUGCCGUUUGCCUUUGCACUGCCCUUAAGGCCAAUAUUUUGGGCAUUAAUCUUAAUGUCCCUGUUUCCUUAAGUUUGCUCUUGAAUUACUGCGGAAAGGGUGUUCCUGCGGGAUUCCAGUGCGCUUAGAGUGGGCAGUGUUUCAAGUUUCUGAUUUCAAUCUCUGGUUGAUUUAGUAGUAUAUGUCUCUCAUUUGUUAUCUAGGCUUCUUUGGACUACUUUUCACUUGGGUUUUUGAGGUUGUGUUUCAAUUUUUAUGGAAGGAACAAAAUAUGUACUAUUGGAAUGUCUGUACCCCAGUUGAAUAAUGCCUUUAAUGGGGAGGCUUGAUUGUUUUCUGUCACUUAAAAAUGUAAAAGAAUAUAAGAUCGAUUGCUAUUUGAUAGUUUUGUUCUUAAUGAAUAGAUGGUACACCAACUCGUAUGUAUCGCCUCCACCAUCCUUUGAUGCACUUCCGACUGUACUUGUUCUCUCUCAUUGCCCGUUAAAACUUCUGGGAGACAGUAAAUGAUCUUAGAAUAUCAAAUAUUCUUGAGAUAAUCUUUUUAUUUUCUUAGAAGAAAAAUAAACAAUUAAAUUGAUUGGUAUGUCACAUUCAUGAUGUUUCAUCAUAUUAACAAACAAACAAACAAAGUGACAGUUGAAGUGGAUGCUGGCAAUCCCCCACUCCAUCCUGACCUCGAUGGGAUGUUUUAGACUACCAAUGCUAAAUGGGUCGUGGAAAUCGUUCCUCAUAUUUUCCUUUAAUUUUUUUAUAUAAAAUAAUAUUAACUAUUAUUUUUCAUUUUGAAAUAUAAACUAAUUAUUUAUUUAAAUAACUUAAAUGGGAUUUCCAACGCCACUCCUCCUUCUAGGCUUUUCAAUAAUAAAAGAAAAAUAACCGUUGCAGCUACACUCUUUCCGAGUAACAAACACAGAAAUUCUCUCUCUUUUUUCUUUUUUCUUUUUUUGGUUUUUUCCUAUACAUAUUUACUUAGAUAUNNNUUUUGUUUUCCUAUACAUAUUUACUAGAUAUUAUUGAUAGCAAAAAUAAGUAAUAACUAUGUUAUUUAUUUAGUAGAACAUCUACAUAAAUUUUAUACUAUCUUCUAAUUUUUUAUUAUUUAUCUUUAUUUUUUAUAUAAUUAAAAAUAUAAAAUAAUAUUUCAUAAAAUUCGUAAUCCAUUUUGUAAUUUAACGGCUUUUCAUUAAAAGAAAAUAAUUUACUAAUCGAAAUCGAAAGUAUAUAAAUUUAUUUUUAAUUUUAAUAAAGGCUAAUUCUUAAAAAUAUUACAACUUAGUAAAAAGACAAACGAAUAAGAAUUUUAAAAAUAAUAAUUAAGGAGGAAGGUUUAUUUUAAAAAUUUAAAAUUAAAAUUUGAGAAAUUUUAGAUAUUGAUGAUUUCUAACUUGAUAUUCUGAUUUUGAUACAAGUAAAAUGGUAACUUAAAUUAAUCUUUUCUUUUUUUAACUUGGCAUUAAAAAGUUAAAGCUUCUCACCUUUUUCAUAAAUGGUUAUCACAAGCAUAACUAUUGGUGGAAAACCUUAUAUAAGAAGUCCAAUCAACAUUUUAGCAAAAAUAGUAUUGAAAAAUUCAACAAAAUUAUGUUCAUGAAAGUCUAAUACAGAAAGAUUAAGAUUUUCUCUUUCAAAUUUCCUAAUUAAAGGAAUUUCACCAUCCCUGUUUAGGAGCUUAAUUUAGGUGUCAAAGAAGAAUUACGGGAACACAGCAGUCUUUUAGCCAGAUUAAGAAUAUUCUUAGAACUCCUCUCAAAACUUAUCAGAUCUGAUCCACCAACAGUGGUUAAUUAUUGAUGAGGUAUGUCCUUGCAAUUUCAAAAUAAAACAAAGAGUAAAGAAAUCAGAAAGAUUAUUUAUUAUCUUUGUAUUAGUUAAGUUGCACAGACAGACAGUUGCACUAUCGCAUCGGACAAGAUUGGCGUUUCAUGUUUGGCUGUAAUUUAUGACUAAUGAUUCUGAAAUUAUAGUCCUGACCAUAAUCUUGCCAAAGUGUUUUCCUUUCAUUAAAGCUCUCAAUUGGGACCAAUUGCUUAAAUUGGGAACUUCCGGUCCGACAAUUGCCUUCCACUUCCCACAUUUCAAUUAUUUUUUGUAUACUCUAGGGUAUUAGUCCAGUUGUCUCAGCCCCACGGCCUCCUAUAGAAAAAUCAUAAUAAUAAUAAAACAAAGAGAAGAAAGAAAUGUUAUUUGUUAAUUUUGUUUUGGGAACAAUAAUGAGAAAAGGAGUUCACGGGUUCUUUAUUGAAUGUAUUUGUAUAACAAAGUCGUGUACCUAACUUUGUCUUUAUUCUUUAGAUUAUUUCAGUAAUGAAGUCAUCGUUCUAAAUGAUAAGAUCACAAGAAGAAGACCCUCUACCACUUGCAGACAGACCCCAUGCAUGGCAUAUAGAAUCAAAUAGGCCAACUUGAAUACCUUCCUCAAGAAAUUCUCUCUUUUCAUGACCACAUAAUGCAAACAUGAGGCACACUGAAAAAAAGAAAAAAACAAAGAGCUGGAGAGGAAAGAAAGGAGUGAAAGGCCUGACAGAAGAAGAAGAACAAACGAUAGGAGUUCUACUUUCCUAGGAGAACAAGUUCCUUUUAAUACCAAAAACUGAAUUAACGUUAAAAAGAGAAAAUCUUAAUGAGAUGCUUGCAUUCUUGAUUAAACUUGCAACUGAGUUCUAUUAUGUGGGCAUCGUCAUAACCUACCUAUCAACAAACAACUUUCAUUAAACUUGCAACUAUCAUUAAGAGAUGCUUGCAUUCUUGAUUCGUUGGAUGCUUGCAUUGCAUUGCAGAUGCAGCAAUUCCUUAAGAGUGGUUAUAUUUGGCCAGGCAUCGCACAUUUCUGCCUUCAACUGCCAUUUUCAAGGACUUACCAAACAUAUCACACGGCCUCCUCUACCAGUUUAACUCAAUUUGCUGAUAGAAAAGUGUGGCCUCUAGACCUCCCACUUGUCUCUUUUUAACGUUAUCUUCUUCUUGGUUAUGUUACAUAGUUGGGCUACCAUAUGCAAUAGCAGAUUCAACACCUACAAAUAAUCAAGCCCCAGAUCCAACCACAGCUCCGUCUGGGAGUCAAAACCCAACCCCUAUUCCAGUUGCUGCUACUGAUUAAACCCAAAUCCUAACACAACAUCUAUUGCAUGCCAACCAAAAAGUCAAUACUAGUAAUGCUAUCGAAAAUUCCAUCAUGAUUCCACCAGCAGCUCCUAGACGUAGCUGCUCCACCGUCAAUCCCUCUCCUAAAUAUACCAACUGGCUCCAGUGCACCUGCAAAUAGACGUCGUUGCAGCAUCCUGCAAAGCCUUGGCAGUCACUUAGAAGAAUGAUUUUGCCCAAUUCUUAUACUCAAUCUAUUUGGGCUCGACCUUGUGAAUAUCCUCAAUGGACUAAAUAACAUCCUAACCACAUGUGGCAGCAGUGGCUAAUCUAAAAUUUCAUGUUUUCCUCUUUUUCUUUAUUAAGAAUAACGCUUGACCUUUUCUUUGCAAUUACGUAAUUUGUUUCAACUUUAUUCGGUACAAUCCAGCUGCUUCAUCAAGAUUUCAGGUGGCACAGGAAAACGAGGGAAACAGUUUUUCUUUCUCCUAUAAUUGGCCUCUAUCACAGAUCACAAACAUAAUUUAUGCUUUUUAGUGAGGGCAUAUUGAUGUUCCCAAUAAUAAUUAGCAGGAACAAAGAAUAUUUGUACAUCAAGAGUACACAAAUGAACAAAUUGAUGGGACUGGGAGGAAAUAGUGCAAGGGAUACUAGGGCGUGAAAGGUGAUAAAUUCCACUAUCAUUAUGCAAGAGUAUACUCGAUCAAUGUUUCUGAUGUAUGUGUAUGGCCAUUGAUGUAUCUAUAUGUUCAGUAAUCCUAUUUUGUUAUCACAUUGGACAAACAUGAAGAACCAGCAACAAUAACAAGAAGAAACUAUGAAAAUCUUACCUUUUUCAGAAUGUUUUUUUAAGAUAUACACUUAGGUCGAUUGCCCAACUCGUUCAUUACCAAAUCUGUUAAUAAUUGUAAUUAUCAUAACCUAAUAACUAUUAUAAAUUGCGAUAACCUGCAGAAUCUAAAAUAAUCGUAAUUCCCCAUCUCAUGUAAUUAAAUCCAACGGAUACAUGAGGUCAUGGCAUUUUAACCCGCUAGACCUAUUAACUAAAUCACAUCAGUGAUAAUUCCAAAUGUUGGAAGGAAUAUAAAUGAGCAAAACCACUAAAUUACAUUCCAAAUUAGAUUAGAAUUAAUUAACUUUGCCUUUUUUCUAAUUUAUCUUUCAGAGUUUUAUUGUUUGUUUAAUAUUUAAGUUAUUGAAAUAUUUAAUUUAUUGAUGUUUUAAGGUUUUAUAUAAUUGACGAUUUGCAUGAUUAUUUCAAAUUAUUGGAGGCAAAAUUUGUAUAUAUAAAGUAAAAUAUUGUGGCCUUAGCAAUCAAAAUUCUGCAACUAUAUACCCAUUUUGUAAUUAUAUUCAGUAUAAUGAUAAUGCAGAAGUAAUAAAUAAUACUAAGCAAUUAUGUAGUAUAAUUUAGAAAGCUAUGGAUAGAAAUGAGAACUCCAAAUUCCAAUCUUCAAUUUUCAAUCUUCAAUCUAGCAUAAGCAAACACAGAUUUUAAAUUCAUAAACAAACAAGAGUAGAUAACUAAAGAUAGAGAUCUUAAGCACACUUAAAGCCUUGAGGAACCUCUCUUCCACAAGCACUAAGAAGUAGACUAAUAGCAACAGGCACUUCAACCUUCACAACCCCAAGUACAUUACUCUUUAUCGCAGUGCAUAAACACAAUGCAGCUUCAAGAUCAGCUACACCUUUAAUGAGGGUACAGCAUUCCUUGCUUGGUUUAGUUCCAAUGACCUCAUGAACCAACCCUAACCAGCUCCCACACACCCCAAACGUAAGGGUAUCCUUGGGGCAUCUGGCCGGCUUCUCGGGGACGGAAGGCACUUUUGGAGGGCAUACGGGUACCUUAUGAGAUGAAACACAAGUGAAAAGUAUGAGACUAAGGAGAAGUAAAAGAGUUGCUGCCUUAGAAGAACUGAAAGCCAUUCUAUCCAGUAACACUUUCGGUACUGUUGUUAAGGUAAUUUAAUAGGACCGACGAUCAUUGGAGCCUUGGAGGAAGCAAUGGCCAAUAAUAAUUAGGGCAUGAAAGAUAUUUGAGCUAGAUUUGUUAUUGCCAAUAAAGGAAUGGAAUAGCUGUUAGUAGCCAAUAUCUUGGUUCUAUGGCUGAUAGCAGCCUUAUCUGUUAGAUAAAAGAUUUAGCAAGGCCGAAACAUACAAUAGCUAGCUAUAAAGGGCCCAGCAGCCUUCCUAGGCCCUAAAUCCUUUCAAUCAAUAGCUUUCUUCCAGCCAGGGAAGUGGGAACAGACGUAAGACUUUUCCUGAUUGUGUUAUAUUAAUCCCCCGGACUAAAAUUGUGAGCCAAUCUUCUUUAGUGCUGACAGAGAAGUCUGAAUUAUGAAAAGUCUUUCUCUCUAUGACAAGCAUAUUAAAAUUUUAAAAUCACCAUGGUUUGGUCGUCACGCAUUUGUAAACGAUGACCAUCCUAUAAAUUCCUCCAAAUAACCGUAGGACAGAACUCACAAUUACAAGGGAAUUAGAAUAGAUUUAUAGGCCAAAAUUAGCGAGCAGCAUGAAGCCAGCAGUCACGUUUGUUCUUGGAACAAUGUUUGGGGCCUUUAUAACACGAGGAAUGCAGCGUUGUCAACACCACGGCCAUGGAUGGCGUAGAGAGUGGCCCUCUUGUCCUCGCCAAGCUCAGAAGAACCCAAGCUCAUCACCACCACCACCAACUGAACAGACAAUUACUGCACCCAUUACUAAUAAUUAAUUAGUUGCACAUGCGAUGAUAAUCGUCUUUUUUUGUUUUGUUUCUUGUGUAAAUGUGAGUGUUCUGUUUCUAAUAAAUGGACGUUGAUGUAUAAUUCUAAUUGUUUUGUCGAAAACAAUUCGAUUUCAACUGCACUGCUACAAACGAGAGGUCUAGUGAUCAAGAGAAAUAUAGCCGAAUUCUGUAUCUGCUCCAUCCAUCAUUAUGGUUUAGCCAAAGUCCAAGUUCCCCUUCCUGCACAGCUUCAUUUCAGUUAAUUAAGCCAUCAGAGCUUCAAAAUUUAUAAAAUCCUCAAAAAGGAC